GACGAACGCUGGCGGCGUGCUUAACACAUGCAAGUCGAACGGAAAGGCCCUGCUUUUGUGGGGUGCUCGAGUGGCGAACGGGUGAGUAACACGUGAGUAACCUGCCCUUGACUUUGGGAUAACUUCAGGAAACUGGGGCUAAUACCGGAUAGGAGCUCCUGCUUCAUGGUGGGGGUUGGAAAGUUUCGGCGGUUGGGGAUGGACUCGCGGCGUAUCAGCUUGUUGGUGGGGUAGUGGCUUACCAAGGCUUUGACGGGUAGCCGGCCUGAGAGGGUGACAGGCCACACUGGGACUGAGAUACGGCCCAGACUCCUACGGGAGGCAGCGGUGGGGAAUAUUGCACAAUGGGCGGAAGCCUGAUGCAGCAACGCCGCGUGCGGGAUGACGGCCUUCGGGUUGUAAACCGCUUUCGCCUGUGACGAAGCGUGAGUGACGGUAAUGGGUAAAGAAGCACCGGCUAACUACGUG
rnacentral:rRNA from 1 species